rnacentral:SRP_RNA from 1 species
UGCUGGUAGCUUCGCAAUUGUACUCUAUGAACCCCGCCAGGACCGGAAGGUAGCAACGGUAGUAGAACUAUGAUGUGCCGAAGUCAUGCUGGUAGGGC